GAUGAACGCUGGCGGCGUGCCUAAUACAUGCCAGUCGAGCGAACGGACGAGAAGCUUGCUUCUCUGAUGUUAGCGGCGGACGGGUGAGUAACACGUGGAUAACCUACCUAUAAGACUGGGAUAACUUCGGGAAACCGGAGCUAAUACCGGAUAAUAUUUUGAACCGCAUGGUUCAAAAGUGAAAGACGGUCUUGCUGUCACUUAUAGAUGGAUCCGCGCUGCACUAGCUAGUUGGUAAGGUAACGGCUUACCAAGGCAACGAUGCAUAGCCGACCUGAGAGGGUGAUCGGCCACACUGGAACUGAGACACGGUCCAGACUCCUACGGGAGGCAGCAGUAGGGAAUCUUCCGCAAUGGGCGAAAGCCUGACGGAGCAACGCCGCGUGAGUGAUGAAGGUCUUCGGAUCGUAAAACUCUGUUAUUAGGGAAGAACAUAUGUGUAAGUAACUGUGCACAUCUUGACGGUACCUAAUCAGAAAGCCACGGCUAACUACGUG
rnacentral:rRNA from 1 species